rnacentral:misc_RNA from 1 species
UUUGAACCCUUCUGUAGUGAAGGUCAGGAAGAUUUUAAGUUGAUGUCUAAAAUCCAAAUUAAGUUCUUCAAAAUUGUUCAAAAUAAAUUUUAUCAUCGCAAAUUUAGUUGUCAUUCAAGUUCAAGAUCAACUUGAAUGUCUUUGGCAUUAUAUUUAUUUACAUAAUCAAGUGAUGUCAAAUAGGACUUAAUUUGUAUUACUUUUAGGUGCCGUAACCCUUUACAACAAUAACAAUUAAACCUUGAUUCCAAACUAGUUGGAGUUGACCAUAUGGAACCAUUUUCGCUAUUUAGCCCUAUUUGAGACAAUUCAGUAUUAAUAUUCAAAAAUUAUAGUUCUUUUGAUAUAAUUUUCCUCCACGUUAUUCUAGGUUUCUUCCUUUCCCUCCUCACUUCUUCUACCCCUAAUUUAUCAUAUUUCUAUAUCAGAGUAUUUGAUUCUCUACAUUGGACAUGAUAAAACCA